rnacentral:rRNA from 1 species
GUGGGGAAUAUUGGACAAUGGGCGAAAGCCUGAUCCAGCAAUGCCGCGUGAGUGAUGAAGGCCUUCGGGUUGUAAAGCUCUGUCGGGAGGGACGAAAAAGCCGGUUAACCCCCGGUGUUGACGGUACCUCCAAAGGAAGCACCGGCUAACUCUGUGCCAGCAGCCGCGGUAAUACAGAGGGUGCAAGCGUUGUUCGGAAUUACUGGGCGUAAAGCGCGUGUAGGCGGCGAGGUAAGUCGGAUGUGAAAUCCCUUGGCUCAACCAAGGAAGUGCAUCCGAUACUGCUUUGCUUGAAUGCCGGAGGGGAUGGCGGAAUUCCCGGUGUAGAGGUGAAAUUCGUAGAUAUCGGGAGGAACACCUGUGGCGAAGGCGGCCAUCUGGACGGCGAUUGACGCUGAGACGCGAAAGCGUGGGUAGCAAACAGGAUUAGAAACCCCAGUAGUCC